CUGUGUCCCUUAGCCCAGAGUUCCGUGUGCCCUGGAAGGAGCGCGCGUGCGCCUGCUAAAGAGAAGCCGUUUAUUGAGGUCCUGGAAGCGCGCCCUCUAAUGGGGAACUGGAGCGGAAAAAUCAUACACUGUGCAUUGAUUGACUGACCUUCUUACGAUAGACGUUUAUUGAGCGCCUUCAAUAUGCCAGGCACUGCCCUGGGUGCUGCUGCCCAAGCGAGAACGACCAAUGCGGCCCGACCCUGAUGGCCCAGAAACGGGUUUCUGAGGUCCGCCACGGCAUCCCCUACGCCUAACACGUCUCCCAGUUGUGGGAUCAUUGAGUGCGACCCUCAAAAAAGAAUUCUUGAGAUGAUCCGUGCAACUUAGUAAGUUCAUUUAGGUAGCACGAUACAGGACUUGUGGGCCGAAAGAGCUGCAUUUUUGCUGUAUGAAGCUAGUGGUUAUAUGCUUAGUGUUCAAGGGGGAGAGGACGUGCAGGGAGUAUAGAUCAUAAAUGUCUUCUUGCAAUUUCUACUCCUAAAACUACUGUCACAAGAUUUCUCUGGUGCUUAUCAUUCAGUUCGGUAUUAACUAUCGAUGAGACAUACAGGCAGUCAUGAGACCCUUUAAGAAUGUAGCAACCAGUACUUACUUGAUCCUUAUCAAAACUAUGCAGGCUAUCAGCUUUCUGGGCUAAAGAUGCACAUUUUUCUGCUUUUAUCCCUCAUCAUCCCGCAGGUAAAUUUCUGCGGAUCGAAUGGCGGAGAGGCGACAAACCGGUUUGCGCCCUCUGCUGUAGGGCUGCGGGGCAGGC
rnacentral:lncRNA from 1 species